CUCUCCCAGCCCCAAAGAACCUUGCUUGAGAACUCGCUGGUACAAAUCUUUAUUAUGGACUUGAAAGUCCCAAGGGUUCGAGCCAUUUAUUUCAAUACCUGCUUUACGAAGCAAACCCUCCACUAGGUCUUUAUAUUUAUCUGACUUCAUUUAAAUAUGUAUUAAUUGUCUCUCAUUAAAAUUAAAAUAUUAUUUUGCUCACAGAAUAUCUACAGUUCAUAGGAGACCGAUAGCGCACAAGUA
rnacentral:rRNA from 1 species